ACUAUACAAUAAUAUAAUUUAACCUUUAUUUUGGUAUUUUCAAAAACUUUGUGUUAACAAAAUCAAAUUACUAAAUACAAAGAAACACACUAAUUUAUGUAACCAUGUCUAGGUAGAAAACAUAGCCAGUCGUUUAAGAAGUCAAAUUGGUGAAUCAUUUUCAUGUGAUUCUUAAUUAAUUUAAAUGAAUUGUCCGACUGAACCGGUUCACUGGAAUGAAUCGGACUUUCAAACGUUACAUAUGAGUGAGAGGAAGAUUUAUGAUGAACCGAUUCAUUAGAAUGAAUCAAACUGCGGUAUAUGGAAGAAAGAGAGAAGGCCGCUCAGGACAAACAAAUCAUCAAGAAUUCCAGCGCUACAUACAAGAGGAAGGCUUGUUUAGAUUCUGUGACCAUUGACAAGCAUUGUAGAGUGAGAGACUACAACGUCUGAAGUGAAAAAAAUCAUAAAUAGUGUUCUACUGAAGAAGUAAAGUCACCUACAUCUUGGAUGCCCUGGGGUGUCCCUCUGAGUGAGGCGGAGGGGAGAGAGGAUGGCACUCAGCACAAUCCAAAGCAUAUGGCCUGUUGUUUGUCUUCGUUACCAGCAAUCUAACAGAGAGCAGUGACUGUGUCGACGGACGGA